UUAGAGGGGCUAUUAAAAUUUU
rnacentral:siRNA from 1 species